rnacentral:rRNA from 1 species
GAUGAACGCUGACAGAAUGCUUAACACAUGCAAGUCUUUGGCGAAGCUGUGCUUGCACAGCCUAGCCAAGGCGGACGGGUGAGUAACGCGUAAGGAACUUGCCCUGCAGUCAGGGAUAACAGACGGAAACGACUGAUAAGACCUGGUAAAGUCAGGCGGACUCAUGUCCAGCCUGAUGAAAAGAGAUGCUGCAGGAGAGCCUUGCGUCCUAUUAGCUUGUUGGUGGGGUAACGGCCCACCAAGGCGAUGAUAGGUAGCCGGCCUGAGAGGGUGGACGGCCACAAGGGGACUGAGAUACGGCCCUUACUCCUACGGGAGGCAGCAGUGGGGAAUAUUGGACAAUGGGGGCAACCCUGAUCCAGCAAUUCUGUAUGCACGAUGAAGGUUUUCGGAUUGUAAAGUGCUUUCAGCAGGGAAGAAAAAAAUGACGGUACCUGCAGAAGAAGCGACGGCUAAAUACGUG